AAUAAAUAAACAUUGAAAUAAAUGUGAUCCUGAACCUCGCCACUUCCGCCCACUGUUCAUCGUAGACUCCGCUCCAUGUCCCGCCCUGUUCGUUUCUCCGGGAGGACAGAUCGAUAACCGUCACAUCUUUUACUACCGGAAACUGGAUUUGAAAUGAAACUACACAUUUCCUUUUAAGAAAUUGCUGGAAGAAGUGAUAGCACAGCACCGAUGAAUAGCACUGGAACACUUAAGUCUUCAAGUUCUGAGUUGGAUCUUGAUCGACCCAACAUUGAGGAUUACCUCCCUUCAGGAGCAGCCAUUCAACAAGAACCUCGUGGCAAGCUUCGCCUGCAUGACUUGCUCGAUAUUUCUCCUACUUUAUCUGAGGCAGCUGGUGCUAUUGUAGAUGACUCAUUCACAAGAUGUUUCAAGUCAAAUCCUCCAGAACCAUGGAAUUGGAAUAUUUAUUUGUUUCCUUUGUGGUGUUUCGGAGUUUUUCUUCGAUAUUUGAUAAUAUUCCCUACCAGGGCUCUUGUGUUAACAAUAGGAUGGAUUAUAUUUCUUUCCACCUUCAUUCCAGUGCACCUCCUAUUGAAAGGACAUGACAAGCUGAGGAGGAAUAUUGAGAGGUCUUUGGUAGAGAUGAUGUGCGGUUUCUUUGUUGCAUCUUGGACUGGGGUUGUCAAGUACCAUGGGCCAAGGCCUAGCAGGCGACCAAAACAGGUUUUUGUGGCCAACCACACUUCCAUGAUUGAUUUCAUUAUCUUAGAACAGAUGACUGCUUUUGCUGUUAUUAUGCAGAAGCAUCCUGGAUGGGUUGGAUUGUUGCAAAGCACCAUUCUGGAGAGUGUAGGAUGUAUCUGGUUCAAUCGAUCAGAGGCUAAGGAUCGAGAAAUUGUGGCAAGAAAAUUGAGGGACCAUGUCCAGGGAACUGACAACAAUCCUCUUCUCAUAUUUCCUGAGGGAACGUGUGUAAAUAAUCACUAUACAGUCAUGUUCAAGAAGGGUGCAUUUGAACUUGGCUGCACAGUUUGCCCAAUUGCAAUCAAGUACAACAAAAUUUUUGUCGAUGCUUUUUGGAAUAGUCGAAAGCAAUCUUUCACUACACAUCUGUUACAGCUAAUGACAUCUUGGGCUGUUGUUUGUGAUGUUUGGUACUUGGAGCCACAAAAUCUGAAGCCAGGAGAGACACCCAUCGAGUUUGCAGAAAGGAUUUGAAAUGAAACUACACAUUUCCUUUUAAGAAAUUGCUGGAAGAAUUGAUAGCACAGCACCGAUGAAUAGCACUGGAACACUUAAGUCUUCAAGUUCUGAGUUGGAUCUUGAUCGACCCAACAUUGAGGAUUACCUCCCUUCAGGAGCAGCCAUUCAACAAGAACCUCGUGGCAAGCUUCGCCUGCAUGACUUGCUCGAUAUUUCUCCUACUUUAUCUGAGGCAGCUGGUGCUAUUGUAGAUGUAAGCUUUUUCCUUCAUCUUUUAUUCAUUGUUUUACUGUUUUUUGUGGUUUUUAUGUAUACAUGUGUUAUAAUGAACUAUGCAUGUAAUUAUAAUGACCUAUACAUGUGUUAUGGUCCCCCAUCUACAUUUCUUUUAGAAAAGUUUGGCUUUAUGGUACGUUUUGUACGUUUGGUCCAAUUUUUUGUUAGGUGCUUUAAAAGUUGUUUUAAAAAUUAAACAAAAAGUAACAUAUGAUUGGUUUUAGUGGGAAUAAGAUAUGGGUAGUUAUGAUUAGGACUUUGAUCUGAUUAUUAGGUUUGAGUGGUACCAGGUUUGGCACUUUAAAGCAUCAUUAUAUAAUACAAGUGAAGUCAUAUAAAAAUAGGAAAAAACAUAACCGAACCCUUUCUCUUUGGCUCAUUGGCUCAUUGGCUCUUCAUCUCUUUCUCUUUUUCUUAAUUAGAUGCUUAUUACCAUUUCACCCUUCUUCCUACCCUUUUAUAUACCAACCAAAACCGAACCUUCCCUUCACUUUCUCACACACAAUUCCCUUCACUUUCUCACACACAAGCAUUACCCAUAAUUAUCUUCUUAAUUUGUUUCUUCACAAGCAUCCACAUAUCACAGAACAUAGACAAAGAGAGUAAAAUCAGAGCAAAAACCACAAGGCAGACGCAGAGAAAGAGAGUAAAAUCAGAAAGCAAAGCAAAAACCACAAGGCAGCUCAAAAAUCAGUAGACUCAGUAAUUUGUGAGCGAGCACAUAGUAAUUCUUCUUCCUUCAGUUGAGUUUUUUUUAAGUUGGUAGAAUUUUUUUACAUUUUAAAUUUAGAAUCUUCUAAAGAUGGCCUCUUCUCCAACCUUCACCCUUCCCAUUUUUAUUUUUAUUUCCAUGUUAUUCUGCCCAGCACCGUCCGUCGCGUCUGGCCUCAAUGUCAGUGAGGUCAUGACGAAA